GAAGGUUUUACUAUGCGGCAGCUAGCGACAAGCAUGUGGUUGCAUCUGCAUUCUGCAGUGAUUUGCAAGUUCUACUGCUUACAUGUUAGCAACGUGAUUCUCAAGUCUCAACUUUAGCUUCCAAGCACUAGUGACAGGCAUUCUGCUAAAUUGCAGAUUCUGAUGAUAGUCAUCUUUCAAUGCAGAUUCUGGUGAUAGUCAUGCACUUAUGUAAAAUGUUUCAGGGUUAUAACGUUCACUGUGUCAUAAC
rnacentral:misc_RNA from 1 species